AAUGACUCUCGGCAACGGAUAUCUCGGCUCUCGCAUCUAUGAAGAACGUAGCGAAAUGCGAUACUUGGUGUGAAUUGCAGAAUCCCGUGAACCAUCGAGUCUUUGAACGCAAGUUGCGCCCGAAGCCUUUUGGCCGAGGGCACGUUUGCCUGGGCGU
rnacentral:rRNA from 1 species